GACAGAGGGUGCAAACGUUGUUCGGAAUUACUGGGCGUAAAGCGGGUGUUAGGCGGUGUGGUAAGUCGGAUGUGAAAGCCCCCGGGCUAACCCGGGAAGUGCACUCGAUACUGCCACGCUAGAGUAUCGGAGAGGUUGGUGGAAUUCUCGGUGUAGAGGUGAAAUUCGUAGAUAUCGAGAGGAACACCGGUGGCGAAAGG
rnacentral:rRNA from 1 species